GCCCUGUUAGCUCAGUCGGUAGAGCAUGAGACUUUUAAUCUCAGGGUCACGGGUUCGAGCCCCGUACAAGGCU
rnacentral:tRNA from 1 species